rnacentral:rRNA from 1 species
UACGGAGGGGACUAGCGUUGUUCGGAAUUACUGGGCGUAAAGCGUGCGCAGGCGGUUGUGCAAGACAGGUGUGAAAUCCCCGGGCUUAACCUGGGAACUGCACUUGUGACUGCAUAGCUGGAGUACGGCAGAGGGGGAUGGAAUUCCGCGUGUAGCAGUGAAAUGCGUAGAUAUGCGGAGGAACACCGAUGGCGAAGGCAGUCCCCUGGGCCUGUACUGACGCUCAUGCACGAAAGCGUGGGGAGCAAACAGG